ACAUGAAAUUUUUACCUAUAAAUUGAUACAAAAAAAAAAAAAAAUUAUUAAUUACAAGCAAAUGGCUCAAACUCUCAAGUUUGUUUAUGCUUUCAUCAUCUUUCUUUCUUUGUUUCUUGUUGUAGCCAAUGGUGCUAUUAUUCCUUGUGCUACCGACGAUGAUUGUCCAAAGGCCAUUCCCCGUACAUAUUAUAAGUGCGUGAAUAGGAUUUGUAUUGUGUUGAGCAAGGGGUUUGUAGGACUGUAAUAUUUUUUUUUUUUUUGUUAUAGACUGUAAUAUUAUUAUUACACUACAAGAAAUAAGAUAUUUCACGGU